rnacentral:rRNA from 1 species
UACAGAGGUGGCAAGCGUUGUUCGGAAUUACUGGGCGUAAAGGGCGCGUAGGCGGCUCGGAAAGUCGGUCGUGAAAUGCCGGGGCUCAACCCCGGGACUGCGUCCGAUACUCCCGAGCUGGAGGCAGGUAGGGGAGAUCGGAAUUCCUGGUGUAGCGGUGAAAUGCGCAGAUAAUCAGGAGGAACACCGGUGGCGAAGGCGGAUCUCUGGGCCUUGCCUGACGCUGAGGCGCGAAAGCUAGGGGAGCGAACAGG